rnacentral:sRNA from 1 species
GGCCACCAAGGUUGAUAUCGAGCUGAAACGAUUUGGAGAA